GAACAGAAGAACGACGCGUACUCGCGAGAGUUCAUAUCUGGGGCUAUGGCGCAGCUGGUAGCGCACCACACUG
rnacentral:tRNA from 1 species